rnacentral:rRNA from 1 species
GCAAGUCGAACGCGAAAAGUUCUUCGGAACUGAUUAGAGUGGCGCACGGGUGAGUAACGCGUAGAUAAUCUACCUUCAAGCCUGGGAUAACCCAUCGAAAGGAGGGCUAAUACCGGAUAACACUUUGAAUUGAAUGAUUUAAAGUUGAAAGUUCAGGCGCUUGGAGAUGAGUUUGCGUCCCAUUAGCUAGUAGGUAGGGUAAUGGCUUACCUAGGCAACGAUGGGUAGCGGGUCUGAGAGGAUGAUC